rnacentral:rRNA from 1 species
AUGAACGCUGGCGGCGUGCCUAAUACCUGCAAGUCGCGCGAACAGACGAGGAGCUUGCUCCUCUGACGUUAGCGGCGGACGGGUGAGUAACACGUGGAUAACCUACCUAUAAGACUGGGAUAACUUCGGGAAACCGGAUCUAAUACCGGAUAAUAUAUUGAACCGCAUGGUUCAAUAGUGAAAGACGGUUUUGCUGUCACUUAUAGAUGGAUCCGCGCCGCAUUAGCUAGUUGGUAAGGUAACGGCUUACCAAGGCAACGAUGCGUAGCCGACCUGAGAGGGUGAACGGCCACACUGGAACUGAGACACGGUCCAGACACCGAGGGGAGGCAGAAGUAGGGAAUCUUCCGCAAUGGGCGAAAGCCUGAAGGAGCAACGCCGCGUGAGUGAUGAAGGUCUUCGGAUCGUAAAACUCUGUUAUUAGGGAAGAACAAAUGUGUAAGUAACUAUGCACGUCUUGACGGUACCUAAUCAGAAAGCCACGGCUAACUACGUG